rnacentral:rRNA from 1 species
UACGUAGGGUGCAAGCGUUAAUCGGAAUUACUGGGCGUAAAGCGUGCGCAGGCGGUUUUGUAAGUCAGAUGUGAAAUCCCCGGGCUUAACCUGGGAACUGCAUUGGUGACUGGCAGGCUUUGAGUGUGGCAGAGGGAGGUAGAAUUCCACGUGUAGCAGUGAAAUGCGUAGAGAUGUGGAGGAAUACCGAUGGCGAAGGCAGCCCCCUGGGAUAAUACUGACGCUCAUGCACGAAAGCGUGGGGAGCAAACAGG